AAACCUUCUGUUCCUUUUCUUUCAUGCCAGAAGAAAACUAUUUUUCCAAUGAUCCAGAAAUCCUUUGACUGUGUUUAAAGCCCUUGUGAAUUUUUUUAAUAACGUAUUUUCUAUUAAAGUUUUCUUGGUUUACAAAAGUAUGUGCAAUGUUUCUUAUUUAAGCUACAUUUUCUACAGAUCAGUUUCAUUUGCUGAGACAUUAGUGUUACCUUAGAAAGAAAGGGGGGAAAGAGGUGGAGGGGGGCAUGGUGGUUGGGGUUGGGUGGCAAUGCUUCUAUUCUACUUCGUGUAUGUGUGGGGUUUUGUGUCAGUGUCGCUUGUGCGGGUUUUCUUUACUAUUUGCUUGUAUUCCUUAUCUGAAGGGCCACAGGUUAGACACCGCAAUUUACAACAGUGUUGUAAGGAAGGCUGGAGCAACUUUUUCCUAUGAAGCUGACCUACACAGGGUCAACUGAGGGGCCACAACCAAUGGUGGAUGGGGCCAGAUCAGAGGGUAGGCAAAUAUUUUCUGUGCCUCUCCAGCCCUGCGCUCUCUGUCCUGCGCACAUAUAUAUGAAGUGGAAGUGUUUCCCAAAAGGUUAGUCCAGUACACUGGUCUCAGUCCCCAGUUGUAAGGUAAGCUAGUAUUUUCUUCAUGGUACCCAAGGGGAGGAGCCCAGGCUGAGGGAUAGUGGAUUGACAAAGCCAUUCUAGAGCUCAGCUGAGAUUCAAACUCCACUGGUAAUUCAAACUGCUUUACCACUAUACAGUCAUACCUUGGGUUACAGACGCUUCGGGUUGUGUGAUUACGGGUUGCACAUCACACUGAAUCUGGAAGUACCGGAACGGGUUACUUCCAGGUUUCGGUGCUUGCACUUGUGCAGAAGCAAUAAAUCAUGCUUUGCGCAUGUGCAGAAACGUCGAAUCGCAACCUGUGCGUGCGCAGAUGCAGCGCUGCGGGUUGUGGAUGCUGCAGGUUGCGAACGUGCUUCCCGCACAGAUCACAUUCGCAACCCGAGUGUCCACUGUACUACAUCAUUUCUUUGGUACUUACAGAAUAGCACCCCUACCAGAUUACACUUCAUUUGUUGACAGUUCAAAUAUACAUUCCCAUGGUGUUCAAAAAAGAUUGGCAGAUGAGAAACAAGACCCCAAGGCCAAACUGGCUUACUGAUUACACAUUUGGGAAGCAGAUACUCUUACAUAAUUAUCAUCAGGAUAAAAUUAAAAUUUGACUGGAGCAUAAAUUACUUCAAGUGGCGCAGCGCUGCUUUAUAGAGAAUCAAAAAUAAAUACUUGAUGGUGUGUUUCUUGGAACUGCGGGCAGGAAAUUGGGCUGACAGACAUAACCCACAGAGUCAACUGCAUGGCUGCAAAAUAUUUCUGACUGAAAAUAUUUAGUCAAACGUUUUUUGCAGCAUUAUUUUUUUUAAUCUACAGAAAAUGUUUAGGCAUUACUAUGGAAAUCUAGCAUUUCCAAUCUAAAAUACAUUUUUUAUUGCUGGAUUUAUUUAUCACAACAGAAAGCCUGUGAUGUAGGGGAAGAACACUUUCCAGAUCUUCAUUUUUUCACAGAAAACUUUCCAUUUCUUAAGUUUAUUAGCAACACCGAAUGGCGACCAACUGCAAAUAAAGUAUUGGACAAGCUUAGCAGUUUCUGUAGCUUUGUUUAGUAGAGACAGACAAAGCAAGCAUGCAAAAUUAGAUCACACCCUAGGAGAGGGGUGGGAAACCUCUGACCCAUGGCCAACACGGGACCAUCAGGGGGUCCAGUUUGGCCAGCAACGCCAUUCCCUCCAAAUGAUGCCCAACUGCCAAUCAGCUGGUGUCACUGGUGACAUCAACUGAAGAACAAAACCUUCUUGGAAAACCUACCUCAUGCUGAUCCACUCAACCUCUGAAAAGGAUUAGCAUGGGACAGGCUUUCCAAAAAAUGAGCAGGUCUGCUUUCCUUGCUGCAUGUACAGCAAACCUGAAAGCAGACCUGGUUUUCCUCUUCAUUGCUAUAUGACAGAAUAGGGUGCCUAAAGCUGUUGGUGUCUGUUUUAGGCUUCCGCUCUGAGAGAGGCUGCUCCAUCACACUGCAAUGAAGAAACAUGUGCUAGCCUCACUGCUCAGUCCCCAUUCCUCUGCCCUCAGAUGGGAGAGUGGGGACUGACUCAAAGCAGGUUUCUCCCACCCUUUCAAAGAUUGCUCUAGCAGUGAUCUUUAAAAUGGUGGGAGAAACUGCUGCAGAGAGAACGUACAGUCCUCACUCUCCCCUGCUUAAAUGCUGUAACAGGGACUGAAAGGGAUUUUGACAGGUGGGGCAAUCCACCUGUCAAGUCAUGUGGCGUUAUUUGAUUGACAUGUGGGUUGCCCCACCCACCUGUCAAAAUUGGCCUACAAGGUGAAGCCAAGUAAAGAUCUGCCCUCCAGAGCCACAAAAGUCAUGUGGCGUUAUUUGAUUGACAUGUGGGUUGCCCCACCCACCUGUCAAAAUUAGCCUACAAGGUGAAGCCAGGUAAAGAUCUGCCCUCCAGAGCCACAAAGGUUCUCCACCGCUGGCUCUAGGACAUUAGAACAUUUUCCAGUUAAUCUCCUCCAUCUGUGUAUGGAACUGAAUUACCGUAUUCACUCGAAUCUAAUGUGCCAUCAAAUCUAAUGCGCACCCUAAUUUUCGCAACAGAAUUGGGCCAAAAAAGGUAGGUGUUCAUAACUUUCGCAUGAAUACAGAACAUAGCAACAUUCAUUUCAUUUAUUUAAUAUACCACUCUUCAUCUGUAGAUCUCAGGGCAGUUCACAAUAUAAAAACACAAAGAACAUGUUAAAAACAAGACCAAGAAACCACAAACCAAAACCCGCUCCCCCCCUCCCACAAACACAUUAUACACGAACUGGGCACAUCUGGGCACUUAGAAUUUGAGAAACUACCUUCAACCAUACAGAGAAACACCCACAUGAGCACUAAUCAGGUACCAGACUAAAACCAUUAUUUUCAACCAUGCCUUUUAAUGGAUAUUUUGAGCCUCAACAAGUCCAAAACAUUUCAAAACUAUUGGCCAUUCUAUAUUGCUGCUCUCUUUAUAAAUGUAUUACAGUGGACCCCUCCGGAUACAAACUUAAUAUAUCCCGGGGGUCCAUGUUGUUGUUGUUGUUUAGUCGUUUAGUCGUGUCCGACUCUUCGUGACCCCAUGGACCAGAGCACGCCAGGCACUUCUGUCUUCCACUACCUCCCGCAGUUUGGUCAGACUCAUGUUUGUAGCUUCGAGAACACUGUCCAACCAUCUCGUCCUCUGUCGUCCCCUUCUUUCGGGGUCCAUACGUAUCCCGAAAAGUCCGUAUCUGGAGGCACUGCUUCUGUGCAUGCAUGUGCAGCGAAACCUGGAAGUACCGUAUUUUUUGCUCUAUAAGACUCACUUUUUCCCUCCUAAAAAGUAAGGGGAAAUGUGUGUGCGUCUUAUGGAGCAGAUGCAGGCUGCGCAGCUAUCACAGAAGCCAGAACAGCAAGAGG